CCUACGGGAGGCAGCAGUGAGGAAUAUUGGUCAAUGGGCGCGAGCCUGAACCAGCCAAGUAGCGUGAAGGAUGAAUGCCCUACGGGUUGUAAACUUCGUUUAUAAAGGAAUGAAGUGAGGCACGUGUGCCUGUUUGUAUGUACUUUAUGAAUAAGGAUCGGCUAACUCCGUGCCAGCAGCCGCGGUAAUACGGAGGAGCCGAGCGUUAUCCGGAUUUAUUGGGUGUAAAGGGAGCGUAGAUGGUUUGUUAAGUCAGUUGUGAAAGUUUGCGGCUCAACCGUAAGAUUGCAAUUGAUACUGGCAGCCUUGAGUACAGUAGAGGUAGGCGGAAUUCGUGGUGUAGCGGUGAAAUGCUUAGAUAUCACGAAGAACUCCGAUUGCGAAGGCAGCUUACUAGACUGCCACUGACAUUGAGGCACGAAAGUGUGGGUAUCAAACAGGAUUAGAUACCCGAGUAGUC
rnacentral:rRNA from 1 species